UUCAUUACGGACUCUUAGCUGAUGAUAGCCCGAUCGUAAGUCGAUCUUAGAGUAGUAGCUCGAUCCUUGCAACUGAUCGAAUAGGUCGUCGAUUCGCGGGAGAGGGUAACGAUUCUUGAUGGUAACCUUGUUCAGCUCACGAUAGUCAAUGCACAUUCGGAACGUGCCAUCCUUCUUCUUAACAAAGAGUACCGGUGCUCCCCAGGGUGAUGAACUAGGGCGGAUAAACCCUUUAUCCAAUAGUUCCUGUAGUUGAGUGGAGAGUUCCUUCAAUUCUGCGGGGGCUAGUCGAUAAGGCGCACGAGCUAUAGGCGCUGCUCCGGGAGCUAGCUCGAUUUGGAAUUCGACCUGACGGUGGGGAGGGAGUCCAGGUAAUUCUUCAGGAAAUACCUCGGGGUAGUCACGCACUACUGGAAAAUCUUCAAUCCUCUUUUCCUUUUCCUGCGUGUUGGUGACAAGUGCUAAGAUAGCGUCGAACGAUCGGCUGAAUGGUAGUGAGUUGUCAUGCUGUGGUUACGAGUCGCAACCGUGUGAUCUCGAGUCGCAAUGCUGUCCUUUUCUUGUUCACGUGUUGA
rnacentral:lncRNA from 1 species